rnacentral:lncRNA from 1 species
CUUUCAAAAAUAAGAAACUUGCGAAAAAGUUCAAAAAUACAAUUUUGUGACUUAUAAUUAAUUGAACGGGUCAAGGUCACAAUAAUGCAUAAUUUAUAAUCACGAUAAGGUAUUAAUCACAAAUUGUCCAACUUCAUAGUUAUAAAGAUACAAUUUAUAGGUCACAAUAGCAAAUUUAGUCGUAAGUGUGUUUUAUUUAAGGCACAAAUUAUUUGUUGAUUACAAAUUAUUAAAUUAAUUAAUCACAAACCAACAUCACACCCAUCCCACAUCAUCCCUAACCCACGCAAAAGCUUCCUUCCAAACUAUCGAAAAUGGAUUAUAUCGACGGCUGAAUCAUGCCAUCAUCUCCCAUUCUCCCUUCCUGUCUUCGACCAGCCUCACGCUACAUACUGGGGCCCAAUAGAUCCUAAAUCCAUUCAGUUCGCGAGGACCCUAAAUGGAAACCCUCACACCGUCGCCCCAUUCAAAGUUUCCUUCCAUCACUUAAUUACGUGAAAUGGACUGCACCGGUGACGCGAUCAUGUCGUUGUCUCCCUCCGUGCCUUCAAUCGACCUCACAAUACAAAUUGGGGGCCGAGCAAAUCAUAAAACCGUUCAAUUGAUGUGAAAAAUGGGUAUGGGGUUAGGAUUAGGGUUAUGGUUUCUACAACUAGGGUGGAUGUGGAAUUGGGAGGUUGCGGGGCGACAAAUGGGUUUGGGGUUAGGAUUAGGGUUACGUUUUCUACAACUAGGGUGGAUGCGAAAUGGGGAGGUUGCGAGCAACGAUGGUGGAAGUGGUGGUACGGGCAGCAGUAAUGGCAAGCAAUGGUUUUGGGAGUGGAUGCUAAUUGUGACUUGGACAAAAUGGAUAAAAGGAUGGAUGGGGUGAUAAGACGUGAGAUACGAUUAUAGUAUAUACCUCAUUUUUUAAAGAAUUAAGUUAAAAUCUGAUUUUUGAAAUGGUGAGUUAAAAGUAAGGAAUGUGUGUAAUUUCC